rnacentral:rRNA from 1 species
UACGUAGGGGGCAAGCGUUGUCCGGAUUUAUUGGGCGUAAAGAGCGUGUAGGCGGCCUGGAAGGUCAGCUGUGAAAACUUGAGGCUCAACCUCAAGCUGUCGGUGGAAACCCCUUGGCUAGAGUCCGGAAGAGGAGAGUGGAAUUCCUGGUGUAGCGGUGAAAUGCGCAGAUAUCAGGAAGAACACCAAUGGCGAAGGCAGCUCUCUGGGACGGUACUGACACUGAGACGCGAAAGCGUGGGGAGCGAACAGG